UAAUACAUGCAAGUCGAACGAAGUAGCAAUACUUAGUGGCAGACGGGUGAGUAACAUGUGGGUAUCUUCCCUUUGGUGAGGAAUAACACGAGGAAACUUGUGCUAAUACCUCAUAAGUCUUUACGGAGAAAGCUUUAUGCGCCAAUGGAUGAGCCCGCACUUGAUUAGUUUGUUGGUGGGGUAAUGGCCUACCAAGACAAUGAUCAAUAGCUGAUUUGAGAGGAUGAUCAGCCACAUUGGGACUGAGACACGGCCCAAACUCCUACGGGAGGCAGCAGUAGGGAAUCUUGCACAAUGGGGGAAACCCUGAUGCAGCGAUGCCGCGUGAGUAGAAGAAGGCCUUUGGGUUGUAAAGCUCUUUCGUCGGGGAAGAAAAUGACUGUACCCGAAUAAGGAGGUCCGGCUAACUUCGUGCCAGCAGCCGCGGUAAUACGAAGGGAUCUAGCGUAGUUCGGAAUUACUGGGCUUAAAGAGUUCGUAGGUGGUUAAAAUAGUUGGUGGUGAAAUCCCAGAGCUUAACUCUGGAACUGCCAUCAAAACUUUUAGCUAGAGUUGAUAAGGAAAGUAGAAUUCUAGUGUAGAGGUGAAAUCGUAGAUUUUAGAAAGAAUACCGAUGCGAAGGCAGCUUUCUGGACCAUUACUGACACUGAGGAACGAAAGCAUGGGUAGCGAAGAGGAUUAGAUACCCUCGUAGUCCAUGCCGUAAACGAUGUGUGUUAGACGUUGGAAAUUUAUUUUCAGUGUCGCAGCGAAAGCAAUAAACACUCCGCCUGGGGAGUACGACCGCAAGGUUAAAACUCAAAUGAAUUGACGGGGACCCGCACAAGUAGUGGAGCAUGUGGUUUAAUUCGAAGAUACGCGCAGAACCUUACCAACACUUGACAUGUUCGUCGCGACUCUAAGAGAUUAGAGUUUUCGGUUCGGCCGGACGAAACACAGGUGCUGCAUGGCUGUCGUCAGCUCGUGUCGUGAGAUGUUGGGUUAAGUCCCGCAACGAGCGCAACCCUCACUUUUAGUUGCCAUCAUUUAGUUGGGCACUCUGAAAGAACUGCCAGUGAUAAGCUGGAGGAAGGUGGGGAUGACGUCAAGUCCUCAUGGCCCUUACGUGUUGGGCUACACACGUGCUACAAUGGUAUCUACAACAGGACGCAAGAUGGCAACAUUUAGCAAAUCCCAAAAAGAUACCUCAGUUCGGAUUGCACUCUGCAACUCGAGUGCAUGAAGCUGGAAUUACUAGUAAUCGUGGAUCAGCGUGCCACGGUGAAUACGUUCCCGGGUCUUGUACACACCGCCCGUCACACCAUGGGAGUUGGUUCUACCUUAAGGCAAGGUUUUAAACCCUUGACCACGGUAUAGUCAGCGACUGGGGUG
rnacentral:rRNA from 1 species